UGGGGAAUUUUGGACAAUGGGCGCAAGCCUGAUCCAGCAAUGCCGCGUGCAGGAAGAAGGCCUUCGGGUUGUAAACUGCUUUUGUCAGGGAAGAAAUCCUCUGGGUUAAUACCUCGGGGGGAUGACGGUACCUGAAGAAUAAGCACCGGCUAACUACGUGCCAGCAGCCGCGGUAAUACGUAGGGUGCGAGCGUUAAUCGGAAUUACUGGGCGUAAAGCGUGCGCAGGCGGCUUUGCAAGACAGAUGUGAAAUCCCCGGGCUCAACCUGGGAACUGCAUUUGUGACUGCAAGGCUAGAGUACGGUAGAGGGGGAUGGAAUUCCGCGUGUAGCAGUGAAAUGCGUAGAUAUGCGGAGGAACACCAAUGGCGAAGGCAAUCCCCUGGACCUGUACUGACGCUCAUGCACGAAAGCGUGGGGAGCAAACAGGAUUAGAUACCCCGGUAGUCCACGCCCUAAACGAUGUCAACUGGUUGUUGGACGGCUUGCUGUUCAGUAACGAAGCUAACGCGUGAAGUUGACCGCCUGGGGAGUACGGCCGCAAGGUUG
rnacentral:rRNA from 1 species